UACGAAGGGGGCUAGCGUUGCUCGGAAUUACUGGGCGUAAAGCGCACGUAGGCGGUCUUUUAAGUCGGGGGUGAAAUCCUGGAGCUCAACUCCAGAACUGCCUUCGAUACUGGAAGACUCGAGCCCGGGAGAGGUGAGUGGAACUGCGAGUGUAGAGGUGAAAUUCGUAGAUAUUCGCAAGAACACCAGUGGCGAAGGCGGCUCACUGGCCCGGUACUGACGCUGAGGUGCGAAAGCGUGGGGAGCAAACAGG
rnacentral:rRNA from 1 species